rnacentral:rRNA from 1 species
CCUACGGGAGGCAGCAGUGAGGAAUAUUGGUCAAUGGACGAGAGUCUGAACCAGCCAAGUAGCGUGAAGGAUGACUGCCCUAUGGGUUGUAAACUUCUUUUAUAUGGGAAUAAAAUGUUCCACGUGUGGGAUUUUGUAUGUACCAUAUGAAUAAGGAUCGGCUAACUCCGUGCCAGCAGCCGCGGUAAUACGGAGGGUCCGAGCGUUAUCCGGAUUUAUUGGGUUUAAAGGGAGCGUAGGUGGAUUGUUAAGUCAGUUGUGAAAGUUUGCGGCUCAACCGUGAAAUUGCAGUUGAAACUGGCAGUCUUGAGUACAGUAGAGGUGGGCGGAAUUCGUGGUGUAGCGGUGAAAUGCUUAGAUAUCACGAAGAACUCCGAUUGCGAAGGCAGUUCACUGGACUGCAACUGACACUGAGGCUCGAAAGUGUGGGUAUCAAACAGGAUUAGAUACCCGAGUAGUC